ACACGAGAAGGGAGGUGGUUCGGCAGAUGUAUGAGAACCGGACGCGUGAGGUGGCUGCGGGCUAGCGGCCCGUCACCACAGCAUGUGCGGUGCCGGACCAGCACGCGAACGGUGCGUGCAGCCGGCCCAAUCCCAAGCAGUCACCCGACCCGCGGGCUGCCGGUACGUCCGGCCGGCUCCUCCUUGAGGAACCCAGCCCGCGGGUCGUCUGCG
rnacentral:sRNA from 1 species